rnacentral:rRNA from 1 species
GACGAACGCUGGCGGCGUGCCUAACACAUGCAAGUCGAGCGAUGAAGCUCCUUCGGGAGUGGAUUAGCGGCGGACGGGUGAGUAACACGUGGGUAACCUGCCUCAUAGAGAGGGAUAGCCUUCCGAAAGGAAGAUUAAUACCUCAUAAGAUUGUAGUUUCGCAUGAAACGGCAAUAAAAGGAGCAAUCCGCUAUGAGAUGGACCCGCGUCGCAUUAGCUAGUUGGUAAGGUAAUGGCUUACCAAGGCGACGAUGCGUAGCCGACCUGAGAGGGUGACCGGCCACAUUGGGACUGAGACACGGCCCAGACUCCUACGGGAGGCAGCAGUGGGGAAUAUUGCACAAUGGGGGAAACCCUGAUGCAGCAACGCCGCGUGAGUGAUGACGGUCUUCGGAUUGUAAAACUCUGUCUUUGGGGACGAUAAUGACGGUACCCAAGGAGGAAGCCACGGCUAACUACGUGCCAGCCGCCGCCGUAAGAC